AGUCGAGCGGAAACGAUGAUAGCUUGCUAUCGGGCGUCGAGCGGCGGAGGGGUGAGUAACGCGUAGAAAUCUAGCUAGUAGUGGGGAACAACCUGUGGAAACGCAUGCUAAUACCGCAUACGUCCUACGGGAGAAAGGGGGCCUCUUCUUGAAAGCUCUCGCUAUUAGAUGAGUCUGCGUCGGAUUAGCUAGUUGGUGGGGUUAAGGCUCACCAAGGGGACGAUGCGUAGCUGGUCUGAGAGGAUGAUCAGCCGCCUGGGACUGAGACACGGCCCACACUCCUACGGGAGGCGCAGUGGGGAAUAUUGCAAAUGGGCGAAAGCCUGAUGCAGCCAUGCCGCGUGUGUGAAGAAGGCCUUAGGGUUGUAAGCACUUUCACCGAGGAGGAAAGGUUGUUCGUUAAUAUCGAACAACUGUGACGUUACUCGCAGAAGAAGGACCGGCUAACUCCGUGCCAUCAGCCGCGGUAAUACUGAGGGGCCGAGCGUUGAUCGGAAUUACUGGGCGUAUGGCGCGCGUAUGCGGCUUGUUCACUCAGAUGUGAAAGCCCUGGGCUCAUCCUGGGAACUGCAUUUGAUACUGGCAAGCUAGAGUAUGGGAGAGGACUGUGGAAUUUCUGGUGUACCGGUGAAAUGC
rnacentral:rRNA from 1 species